CUCCCAAACCCCUGUGAACAUACCACUUGUUGCCUCGGCGGAUCAGCCCGCUCCCGGUAAAACGGGACGGCCCGCCAGAGGACCCCUAAACUCUGUUUCUAUAUGUAACUUCUGAGUAAAACCAUAAAUAAAUCAAAACUUUCAACAACGGAUCUCUUGGUUCUGGCAUCGAUGAAGAACGCAGCAAAAUGCGAUAAGUAAUGUGAAUUGCAGAAUUCAGUGAAUCAUCGAAUCUUUGAACGCACAUUGCGCCCGCCAGUAUUCUGGCGGGCAUGCCUGUUCGAGCGUCAUUUCAACCCUCAAGCACAGCUUGGUGUUGGGACUCGCGUUAAUUCGCGUUCCCCAAAUUGAUUGGCGGUCACGUCGAGCUUCCAUAGCGUAGUAGUAAAACCCUCGUUACUGGUAAUCGUCGCGGCCACGCCGUUAAACCCCAACUUCUGAAUGUUGACCUCGGAUCAGGUAGGAAUACCCGCUGAACUUAAGCAUAUCAAUAAGCGGAGGA
rnacentral:rRNA from 1 species